rnacentral:rRNA from 1 species
UACGUAGGGGGCAAGCGUUGUUCGGAAUCACUGGGCGUAAAGGGCGUGUAGGCGGCGGAGUAUGUCUGACGUGAAAUCCCUCGGCUUAACUGGGGAAUUGCAUCGGAAACUGCUCUGCUUGAGUGUGAGAGAGGAUAGCGGAAUUCCCAGAGUAGAGGUGAAAUUCGUAGAUACUGGGAGGAACACCUGAGGCGAAGGGCGGCUAUCUGGUUCACAACUGACGCUGAGACGCGAAAGCAUGGGGAGCAAACAGG